CAAAACUACCCCUCAUGAUCCUUACUUCUCAUCCCCUAUCAUCCGGACAGAUGCAGAGGGUCCAGCAGAGACCUUCAGGGGCCCCUAGAAGAUUUCAGGUCCACAAGUGAAAGGAGCCGGGGUCUUUAAUGACUGUCUGAAGUGUGUCUUCACUGCACCCUCCACACACACCAUCAAUGGUACUUUGUAUGAGCAAUACGUAAACUUCUGCUGUAUUAAGUCAUUGACAUGUUGACCUCUUGUUACAGAGGUGGCCUAGCUGACUAAUACACAGUUUAUCAAACCUCAAGAUGGACUCACAGGUCCCUGUUGCCUCAAUGAUUCCAUCGCCACUGCACACACCAGAGUCUAGAUACCAUAAAUAUGGUCCAGGAGAGAAACCAGCAGCGUGGUGUGGUAACUGGCAACUGGCCAGGUAUGGUAAGCAUAAGGUAAAGCCUGCAGCAACUCAAGAAAUGCAGAGGGAAGACUACUCGUCUAGAAGAAACAGGAUGGCCCAGCAGCAAUAUUACCUGUGCUCAUAGCUACUGGUUCUUCAGGAGAACAGGAAAGAGCAUGGUCUCAAAGGCCAAGCAUAUCAGAGGCCAUAUCUGCCUGGGAUCUACCCAGAAAAGUGACUGAACUGCUCUGGGCUUCAGUUUCCACAACUGCCAAUCAUGGAUAACAAUACCCUAUGUUCUGUGACAUCACACUGGUAUCUUCAAACCAGCCAGGGCAGGAAUAUUUAUACCAUAGGAAUUGACGAACACCGUACAUAGGGACUUUCUUCUCUAGAAAUCCCGUUGUUAAUCACUUACCAGCACAUCCCUGGAUAAACAGGAGUCAGCUAAGUGGAAGGGGAGAAGGAGGACAAGAAAAGAGAAGUCCGGCAGUGUGAACAGCAUGUGUGAAGGCCCAGAGGACCACCUGCCAGGCACAGAUCCAGAAAGAAACCAGGACCAGCCCUGUCCACAAGGAGCUGUCUGCAGAGGAGACAGGAUGCCUGUAUAGAAAAUAGGGCUGCAGCAUCAGACGGCUGCUCCCCACCCAGGAUGGAAGGACAAACAGAGAGGACGCAUCAGGGAAGGGAGAGGCAGAGAAAGCUGACUAGGGGAUGUUGAUCAGACCUGGGCACUCUGCAGUGAUGAUCAGCAGCUCAAGAGCAAGGGUGGCUCCUGACCGUGAGGGGUCAGCACCAGGCCCACAAGCCUGUCUGUUGCACCAGUGCCCAGGAGGGGCUGUCGACUGCAGAACUGUUUUCUCUGGCUCGACCUCACCCAGAACCAGCGGCAGAAAGGCCAGUUAUGCAACCAUCCUCACCACAGCCUGCCAGCCUCAGAGGCUGGGCCUGGCCGCCGGGCCUGGCCGCCAGGCCUGGUAAGGAGACUGCUGUGGCCUGCACAGCACAAGGCCAUCCUGGGCCCCAACUGCCACUUUCCAUGCAGGUGCAAGACGCUCUGCUGACAAAUACCUGGGGAAAGCAGGAGCUGUGGGAGGGAGGUAAAAAUAGCACAGUUGGCAACAGAGAAGGCUUUUCUAAGUCCUCAGGGUCCUAUUAGUCCUUGUCCAUGGGAUACACAUGAGCUGGCACUGAGCAUUCUCUCUUCUCCAAGGCUCAUGCUUAGAACAGGCACAGAGGCCUGGGAGGCCUCUUGUAUCAUGUCAGGAGCUGCACAGUGAUCAGAAGUUAGGGAGAGCGCCUGUUGCAGAGGCUGGAUUUGGAGGAUAUGCUGGGGCUGCCGUCAUAACCCCACAUCCCCAGUGGGUUCUCUCUGGCCACUCCCUCUACGGCCAGUUCUGUUUUCUCCCCAUUUUUGGAAACCCAAAUUCUUGAUGUUUCUGUUAUUCACAUUGCCAUUAAGAAUUAUGGGCUUUGCACUGUGUUUUUAAUUUGUUGUGUAAGGGUUUUACACAAACACAGCUAGAUGCCUAGAAAAGACAAUGUAUAUGGGCAUGCAGGCUGUGCACUGCACAACUCCAGAGGGCUUCAUUCAUGACCAGGAUGUGAGUGGCGCCCUGGAAUCAUGCAAUGUGGUUACCGGUAUUGCCAGAGAGGAAAUGAUGUCUUACAUGACCCCAUAUCCCCGGGAAAAGGCCAGCCAUGCUAAUAAAGAUUUGCUAACUAA
rnacentral:lncRNA from 1 species